AUGAUUAUAUGCACUUUGGCAUCACAUACAUGAAAACGGCAAUGAGAUGAAAAAGAUUAGCAUGGUCCCUUUGCAAGGACGAUAUGCAAAUUUAAAGUGCUCCAUAUUUUU
ensembl:snRNA U6 U6 spliceosomal RNA